rnacentral:rRNA from 1 species
UCUCWGAUUCAGCGGCGGACGGGUGAGUAAUGCCUAGGAAUCUGCCUGGUAGUGGGGGACAACGUUUCGAAAGGAACGCUAAUACCGCAUACGUCCUACGGGAGAAAGUGGGGGAUCUUCGGACCUCACGCUAUCAGAUGAGCCUAGGUCGGAUUAGCUAGUUGGUGRGGUAACGGCUCACCAAGGCGACGAUCCGUAACUGGUCUGAGAGGAUGAUCAGUCACACUGGAACUGAGACACGGUCCAGACUCCUACGGGAGGCAGCAGUGGGGAAUAUUGGACAAUGGGCGAAAGCCUGAUCCAGCCAUGCCGCGUGUGUGAAGAAGGCCCUCGGGUCGUAAAGCACUUUAAGCUGGGAGGAAGGGUUGUAACCUAAUACGUUGCAGCUUUGACGUUACCAGCAGAAUAAGCACCGGCUAACUCUGUGCCAGCAGCCGCGGUAAUACRGAGGGUGCAAGCGUUAAUCGGAAUUACUGGGCGUAAAGCGCGCGUAGGUGGCUUGGUAAGUUGAAUGUGAAAUCCCCGGGCUCAACCUGGGAACUGCAUCCAAAACUGCCUGGCUAGAGUACGGUAGAGGGUGGUGGAAUUUCCUGUGUAGCGGUGAAAUGCGUAGAUAUAGGAAGGAACACCAGUGGCGAAGGCGACCACCUGGACUG